rnacentral:rRNA from 1 species
GACGAACGCUGGCGGCGUGCCUAAUACAUGCAAGUUGAGCGCUGAAGGUUGGUACUUGUACCAACUGGAUGAGCAGCGCACGGGUGAGUAACGCGUGGGGAAUCUGCCUUUGAGCGGGGGACAACAUUUGGAAACGAAUGCUAAUACCGCAUAAAAACUUUAAACACAAGUUUUAAGUUUGAAAGAUGCAAUUGCAUCACUCAAAGAUGAUCCCGCGUUGUAUUAGCUAGUUGGUGAGGUAAAGGCUCACCAAGGCGAUGAUACAUAGCCGACCUGAGAGGGUGAUCGGCCACAUUGGAACUGAGACACGGCCCAAACUCCUACGAGAGGCAGCAGUAGGGAAUCUUCGGCAAUGGACGAAAGUCUGACCGAGCAACGCCGCGUGAGUGAAGAAGGUUUUCGGAUCGUAAAACUCUGUUGGUAGAGAAGAACGUUGGUGAGAGUGGAAAGCUCAUCAAGUGACGGUAACUACCCAGACAGGGACGGCUAACUACUU